CCUACGGGGGGCAGCAGUGGGGGAUAUUGCACAAUGGGGGGAACCCUGAUGCAGCGACGCCGCGUGGGUGAAGGAGCGUUUCGGCGCGUAAAGCCCUUUCGGUAGGGAAGAAGAUGACGGUACCUGGCCAAUAAGCCCCGGCUAACUACGUGCCAGCAGCCGCGGUAAUACGUAGGGGGCAAGCGUUAUCCGGAUUUACUGGGUGUAAAGGGGGCGCAGACGGGAAUGCAAGCCAGGAGUGAAAGCCCGGGGCCCAACCACGGGACUGCUCUUGGAACUGCAUUGCUGGAGUACAGGAGGGGCAGGCGGAAUUCGUGGUGUAGCGGUGAAAUGCGUAGAUAUUAGGAGGAACACCGGUGGCGAAGGCGGCCUGCUGGACUGUGACUGACGUUGAGGCGCGAAGGCGUGGGGAGCAAACAGGAUUAGAUACCCGGGUAGUC
rnacentral:rRNA from 1 species